AGGCAGUGCACUGAUUUCUGACGUACAAUCCAACGUGAUGGGGACCCUGCCUGUAAGAGGAGAUGUAGACAGCCUGACAGGGCCGAAGCCAACUCACAAUGAGGAGAUGGACACGGUUUGGUCCCCUGGAGCUGUCCUUGUAGGUAAUCUCUGAGUAUUAAAAGGAUCAGCAAUGAAGCACUGAGCUUUUCUGAUUGCAGGUGCCAUCUGGGUAACCUUUGGGAGCAGAUGAGCAUUGGAGGUAUCCCAGAAGAUGACAGCACAUUGUCCAAGUCUGGUCAGAGCCAGUGACAUGAGGACCUGCCUCGGUGCCAUUGACUCCGAGUACUCUCCGGAUGACAGGAACCUCUGAGCCAGCCCAGGUGCCCCUCCUCUGCAUCAAAGAUGGAUUCACAUCCCCGGCUCUCGGAAAGAUAAGUGCAGGGCAAAGACCCAGAGAGGGGCUGGGAGUCGGUGCAAGUAUGUGCAUCGCCUGGAGGGAUUUUUGCAAUUAGUAUGGUGCAAUGGGUGUCCUGUAGCAGGUUAUUUAGACACCUCAAAGGAAGGGCUUACUUUGUAUCAUUGGAUUCCCAUGUGCAGGGCAGAGCAGUUCCGGUCUGUGUCACGUCCUUUGUCUCCUCCAUGUUUGUGUCCUUCGUCUCUUAAUUGUGUCACAUGGUGUGUGUCAUCACAGGUAUGGGGUGUCUCACUUGGGGUCAGCCUGGAACUGCUCUGCCCUGCUACGUGGAUCAGUGGGUAGAUAGAAUAUUGCUCAGGGUCCCACAUCAACAUGUCAGUUGCCUUAGUCAGUCGAGCCAAUGGCUGUACAG